rnacentral:lncRNA from 1 species
GCAAAAUGGUAUUCAGGAAAGAAAAUAAAGCCAGUCCUCAACCUUUCGUGACUGGACAUGGCACAGCUGAACUAUUGCUCUUGCUGCUGGUCUCCUGCAGAUAAACAGAAGCUAUGAAAGCAAUUUGCACAAAAAAAAAAGCAUAGUAAAUUGCGUCAGACAGCAUGCUACAGAUCAAGACUGGCAACAAUAAUAAUAGUGAAGAUGUGCUGGCAUAUAGAAGGGUUUAUAAUUAAAUUGCAACAUUAGCAAUUUCAUUGUUGGUGUUUCUUUAAUAUAUCUUAUGAGAAAUGCG